ACGGCUCAGUAACACGUGGAUAACCUGCCCUGCGGUGGGAAAUAACCCCGGGAAACUGGGGAUAAUGUCCCAUAGGUUACGGAUGCUGGAAUGCUCUGUAACUCAAAGAUUUAUCGCCACAGGAUGGGUCUGCGGCCGAUUAGGUAGUUGUUGGGGUAACGGCCCAACAAGCCUUUGAUCGGUACGGGUUGUGGGAGCAAGAGCCCGGAGAUGGAUUCUGAGACACGAAUCCAGGCCCUACGGGGCGCAGCAGGCGCGAAAACUUUACAAUGCGGGAAACCGUGAUAAGGGAACUCCGAGUGUCCGUAAAUGCGGACUGUCCGUAUGUCUAAAAAGCAUGCGAAGAAAGGGCCGGGCAAGACCGGUGCCAGCCGCCGCGGUAAUACCGGCGGCUCGAGUGGUGGCCACUAUUAUUGGGCUUAAAGCGUUCGUAGCUGGAUUGUUAAGUCUCUUGGGAAAUCUACCGGCUUAACCGAUAGGCGUCCAAGGGAUACUGGCAAUCUAGGGACCGGGAGAGGUGAGGGGUACUUCAGGGGUAGGAGUGAAAUCCUGUAAUCCUUGGGGGACCACCUGUGGCGAAGGCGCCUCACCAGAACGGCUCCGACAGUGAGGGACGAAAGCUGGGGGAGCAAACCGGAUUAGAUACCCGGGUAGUCUCAGCCGUAAACGAUGCGCGUUAGGUGUAUCGAUGACCACGAGUCAUCGAGGUGCCGAAGGGAAACCGUGAAACGCGCCGCCUGGGAAGUACGGUCGCAAGGCUGAAACUUAAAGGAAUUGGCGGGGGAACAC
rnacentral:rRNA from 1 species